UAGCUCAGUCCAUCGAGCGUGGUGCUGACAACAUCAAGGUCGCGGGUUCGAUUCCCGU
rnacentral:tRNA from 1 species